GCACUACAGGACAGGACUGCUGCUUUUAGCUCUUUGCUGGGCAGGUACUGAUAGUCAGACGCUGACAGAAUCUGAACCAGUCAUUAAAAGGCCAG